GCGGACGAGUCGGCGUGUUAGCCCUGCGCCAUUCACAAACGGGCUUUAUGGUGGACUUAAAGGAACGCGUGAUGCUGAAAACGCGGAGUCUUGCGUCUAACGUUGAGGCUUUGUCCUGCUCGAUCGUACUCUUAUGAACCGGGUCAGGCCUUGAUCGGAGCAGCCCUAAGUGGGAAGUAUGAUGCUUGUAGGGUCGCAAAGCUGAGGAGGACACGAGGUAGCUUCUCGUUCGAUGCUGAGCUAGUUCCCUGUCCGU
rnacentral:SRP_RNA from 1 species